rnacentral:rRNA from 1 species
GAUGAACGCUGGCGGUAUGCUUAACACAUGCAAGUCGAACGGACUCUUCGGAGUUAGUGGCGGACGGGUGAGUAACGCGUGAGAAUCUGGCUUUGGGUUCGGGACAACCACUGGAAACGGUGGCUAAUACCGGAUGUGCCGAGAGGUAAAAGAGAAAUUGCCUGAAGAUGAGCUCGCGUCUGAUUAGCUAGUUGGUGAGGUAAAGGCUCACCAAGGCAGCGAUCAGUAGCUGGUCUGAGGGGAUGACCAGCCACACUGGGACUGAGACACGGCCCAGACUCCUACGGGAGGCAGGAGUGGGGAAUUUUCCGCAAUGGGCGAGAGCCUGACGGAGCAAUACCGCGUGAGGGAAGAAGGCUCUUGGGUUGUAAACCUCUUUUCUUAGGGAAGAACAAAAUGACGGUACCUAGUAAAUCAGCAUCGGCUAACUCCGUG